rnacentral:lncRNA from 1 species
UUGGAUAUUUCUAUUCGGAAAUGAGAAUUCCAUAUUUGUCCUUACUUACUUGAAUACCAAAAAAAUAUCCCAUCCUCCUAAAUUCAUAGCAAACACUCCAUUGACAUUUUGAAAUUGGUGAGCAUGUUCAAUUCAUUCAUUGAAGAUAUGGUCAUCAAUGAAUAGAUUCGCAAAAUGACAAUUUUUUUAAUAAUAAGUAAUUCUAAACACAAAAAGGAGGUGAAUUGUGAUAUUUAAUUUUUAAAUUUUUGUUUAUAAAACGAAUGAUUUUAGACUGGUUGAU